GCCCAAAGCCGUGCACCGGGCAGUAGAGUGGUGGCGGUGGCGGCGCAAGGGCGACGAUGAAAUCGUCAUCUUCCCCAAGCAUUGGUGGCGUCGGACCUGAGAGCAUCCACGCCAUUGUUGGGGAGUAAUCGGGGGAGGCCAGCGGCGCUAGUUCCGGCGAGAGAGCAGUCGGUGGAGCGGAGGCCGGCAGUGGCAUGGGGGCCAGUGCGGUUAGGGCCGGCGGUGCGCGAUCCGGCGCGUCGGCCAGGGGCGCGACGCGCGGGCGGCGCACACGGGCACGGCGCAUGCGGGGGCGGCGCGGGCGGCAAGGC
rnacentral:lncRNA from 1 species